GACGAACGCUGGCGGCGUGCUUAACACAUGCAAGUCGAACGAAGUGGCGAACGGGUGAGUAACGCGUAAUCAACCUGCCCUUCAGAGGGGGAUAACAGUUGGAAACGACUGCUAAUACCGCAUACUGAGGGAGGGGAUUGCGUCUGAUUCGCUAGUUGGAGGGGUAACGGCCCACCAAGGCGAGGAUCAGUAGCCGGUCUGGUAGGAUGAACGGCCAAAUUGGGAAUGAGACACGGCCCAGUCUCCUACGGGAGGCAGCAGUGGGGAAUCUUCCACAAUGGACGAAAGUCUGUCGGAGCAACGCUGCGUGAGGGAUGACGGCUUUCGGGUUGUAAAGCUCUGUUAAUCGGGACGCGGUACCGAAAUAGAAAGCCACGGCUAACUACGUGCCAGCAGCCGCGGUAAUAC
rnacentral:rRNA from 1 species